rnacentral:misc_RNA from 1 species
GAUGAAGAACGCAGUGAAAUGCGAUACUUGGUGUGAAUUGCAGAAUCCCGUGAACCAUCGAGUCUUUGAACGCAAGUUGCGCCUCAAGCCAUUAGGUUGAGGGCACGUCUGCCUGGGCGUCACAUAUCGUUGCCUGAUGCCAGUUUCCUCGUGAUGGGUGACUGUGCAGGGCGAAUGAUGGCUUCCCGUGAGCAUUGUUGCCUCAUGGUUGGUUGAAAAUUGAGUCCUUGGUAGGGAGCGCCGUGAUAGAUGGUGGUUGAGUGACAAACGAGACCCAAUCAUGUGAGACCCCUACCGAAUUUGGCCUUCAUGACCCACAUGCGUCUUUGGAACGCUCAUGACGAGACCUCAGGUCAGGCGGGGCUACCCGCUGAGUUUAAGCAUAUCAAUAAGCGGAGGA